rnacentral:misc_RNA from 1 species
GUUGUUAUAAGAGAAUGAGUGCUAUGGGGAGAAUAGGUAGUUACAUAGGUAGAGGGGUACGUAGUGUUUCGGGGACGUUGAAUCCAUUUGGUGGUGCUGUGGAUAUCAUUGUGGUGAGGCAGCCAGAUGGGAGUUUGAAAUCAACUCCUUGGUAUGUUAGAUUUGGGAAGAUUCAGGGGGUUUUGAAGGCUAGAGAAAAUGCGGUUGAUGUAAGUGUCAAUGGCGUUGAAGCUGGUUUUCGUAUGAAUUUAGAUACUAGAGGGCAGGCAUACUUCCUAAGGGAGCGAGACAUGGAAAAUGGAUAUUCUUUAACUACUCGAACAUCUGAACAACUUGCAACUUUGAAUCUGAAGGAGGGAAAGAAUGUGGUUGUAUUCACCUGCUCAAAACAGCAGGUUGAUGCACGUAUAUAUUUGUGGAGAUGGGACGCAAAUAUUGUAAUCUCGGAUGUUGAUGGAACAAUUACUAGAUCUGACGUUCUAGGACAGUUCAUGCCUUUGGUGGGGAGGGAUUGGUCACAGACAGGUGUUGCACAUCUCUUAUCGGCUAUCAAGGAGAACGGUUAUCAAUUGCUUUUCUUGAGUGCACGUUCUAUUUCACAGGCCUAUCUGACUAGACAAUUCCUGUUUAAUCUUAUGCAGGAUGGAAAGGGAUUACCGGAAGGACCAGUUGUCACAUCUCCU